GACUUCGUGGUUGAGUGGUAAGAACACUUUCCUCUCACUGAAGUCCCGGGUUCGAUCCCCGGUCGAGAAACU